GAUGAACGCUGGCGGUAUGCCUAACACAUGCAAGUCGUACGAGAGUUUUUAACUCUAGUGGCGGACGGGUGAGUAACACGUGAGAAUUUGCCUUUAGGAGGGGGGACAACAAUUGGAAACGAAUGCUAAUACCCCAUAUGCUUUCGAGUGAAAUGGAUUUUAUCCGCCUAGAGAGAAGUUCGCGGCUGAUUAGCUUGUUGGUAAGGUAAGAGCUUACCAAGGCGACGAUCAGUAUCUGGUUUGAGAGGACGAUCAGACACACUGGAACUGAGACACGGUCCAGACUCCUACGGGAGGCAGCAGUAGGGAAUAUUGGGCAAUGGUCGCAAGACUGACCCAGCCAUGCCGCGUGCAGGAAGACGGCCCUCUGGGUUGUAAACUGCUUUUAUCUGGGAAGAAAAAGUCCAUGCGUGGAAAAUUGCCGGUACCAGAUGAAUAAGCACCGGCUAACUCCGUG
rnacentral:rRNA from 1 species